rnacentral:tRNA from 1 species
GCCUGGGUGGCUUAGCCGGUUAAGCAUCUGCCUUCGGCUCAGGUUAUGAUCUCAGGGUUGUGGGAUCAAUCCCCACAUUGGGCU